rnacentral:lncRNA from 1 species
AGCCCCAGCCGCAGCCCCAGCAGCAGCUGGCUCAGGAUGAAGUGCCCGGCGAGAGUGCGGGUGCUGAGGACAGCGACGAUCCGGAGGCGAGACCCAAUGGCGAGAGGGGGGAGAGCAAGUAUUCCAGUGACAGAAUCCACUCAAGAGAGUUGGGACCGAGGUUAUCAAGGAGCUGAGUUCUGAGUUCAGGUGCCCACGUGGCAGAGGAAUGACGCCUCCUGGCCCUUCAGACCUUUGAGACGGCCGGGAGGCCCUAGAAAUCACCUCAAGUCUCCAGUCCAGGACACAGCUGCCUAGGGGAGUCCCAGGGAAAGGCGGCAGAGAUUGCAUGGCCCGUGGCGGACUCCAGCGCAACCUCUGCGGAAUCUACCUGAUUCCAAACCACUGGCACUUCCGGCGCGCAAAGCCCCUUGCGGAGAGGAGGCAAGAGAAGCCAGCUGGGAAGAGGCCCAUCACUUGGCUACAAAGCAGAUGGACCACCUCCUCAGGGCUCCUGGAAACUGCUGAAGCACGAUGA